rnacentral:rRNA from 1 species
AGUGAACGCUGGCGGUAGGCCUAACACAUGCAAGUCGAACGGCAGCACAGGAGAGCUUGCUCUCUGGGUGGCGAGUGGCGGACGGGUGAGGAAUACAUCGGAAUCUACUCUGUCGUGGGGGAUAACGUAGGGAAACUUACGCUAAUACCGCAUACGACCUACGGGUGAAAGCAGGGGACCUUCGGGCCUUGCGCGAUUGAAUGAGCCGAUGUGGGAUUAGGUAGUUGGCGGGGUAAAGGCCCACCAAGGCGACGAUCCGUAGCUGGUCUGAGAGGAUGAUCAGCCACACUGGAACUGAGACACGGUCCAGACUCCUACGGGAGGCAGCAGUGGGGAACAUUGGACAAUGGGCGCAAGCCUGAUCCAGCCAUACCGCGUGGGUGAAGAAGGCCUUCGGGUUGUAAAGCCCUUUUGUUGGGAAAGAAAUCCAGCUGGCUAAUACCCGGUUGGGAUGACGGUACCCAAAGAAUAAGCACCGGCUAACUUCGUGCCAGCCGCCGCCGUAA